AGGGAUGAUGAGAUUUGCUACCUCUGAAAAUAAUGAUGAACCCUGCCGUUACUGACCG
rnacentral:snoRNA from 16 species